rnacentral:lncRNA from 1 species
GGAUAGCGGGUAGUCCGGAUAGCUGGUGUUCGGGCUCUCUGACGAGCAACUAUCCUCUUCUCCCUCGCUCUGGGUCCGUGUCACUGAGCCGGGAGAGGCCGCAAAGAUGAGCGUGAACGUCUGCGUGCCCCCGGGGAACCAGCCGUGGACGGCGGGGACCGGGCACGGCGCGGAGGCCCGGACGUUUACAUCAUCAUUUAUUACUGGAGACCGAGGCUCGCGUAGCCCAGGCUGACUUCAGACUCUGUCGCUAAGGAUGCCGUGAACUAAGAGAUCUUCUUCUUCCAUCUGCCAAGGGUUGGGAUUUCAGGCGUGGGCCACGUUGCCCUUUUUACCGGAUGCUGGGGAUCGAACCCAUGAAUUCGUGCGUGCUAAAUUAACACAACUGAGACACAUCCCUAGAUCCUAGAUCUAUUAUUUAAAUUUUAAUUUAAAAAAGUGUUUAAAUUUUUAAUUAAAAAAAUUUUUAAGG